GUGGAAGCAAUCGAUGAUGCAUCCAUUGCUCGGAGUCACGCCUCUUUAUCCUCAUUUCCUCCAGACGGACAGUCAGAGACUGAAGGUAGGUCUGUUGUAAUAACAGUAACUCCAACAUCAGAGCUAUAGUGUACCACCGCCUAUUCAUUGCCCUUAGUUACCAGCGUAAAAAGUAACAGUAAGUGCCAGAUAUAGAAAACAAUUUCUAAGUCAAUCAAACAACCAUGGUUGUUCAUGUAAUGCAUUUGCGAAUACUGACAGUAACCACUCAUCGUAUAAAAUCCUGUAUACCUGCAUAUUUCCAAUUAGAAGUGCAAAGAGGAUGAGGCCAGAAAUUGCCAGCGCAAUGGAGAAGAGGACUUCACCGGUAUAUGUGCUUGUUUGGAGCCCCUGCCCGAGUGUACUGUAAAGAUAAGAUCAGGAUGUCAAAUUCUAAUCUUCAGCUUUAGUACUUAAGGCAACAGUUGAGUGUAUAAAAUGGUUGUCUCCGUCCUGAUCAAAGACCAAAUGGUAAUUCAAAGGUGUCAUGUCACAGUCGCACUGGUCAAAUCCUAAAGCUCUAACUGUGCAGAAGCAUCCUAAAAACUAUGGUGGAAAUUUUAUCAACUGCAAAAGGCGAACUAGAAGAUCAUAUCAGAGAUUGAACAGAAAGCAAA